UUAAUGCUGCUCGUUGAUCUCUACAUUGUAGGAUGCAUGCUGGCCCUGUAACAUGCUUAGCUCUGAGUGAUGAUGAGUUGAUUCUCAGUGGGAGCUCUCUUGGUAGUGUCUCAAUAUCUGAUCUUGCAUCCGAUCAGCGGGUAGCUAGACUGAGGUCAACUGACUCGGCAGGUUAGAUAAUUAAAAACUUAUGGACAUCUUGCAUUUAACAUCACUUUUUUUUUUGUUGGUAUUUUGCAUCUGAAAUGUGAAACUAAUUUAUUCUUAUUCUUACAGGCAUAAGGACCCUGUGUUUCAACCCUUGUUCUCAUUUAGUGUUUGCAGGGACAACAGUUGGAUAUACAUAUUGUUGGGACCUUAGGUAUGUUAAUUGGCAAUUUAGUAGAUCUAGUCAUAUGGAGAUUACAAGAAAUGAGUGGUUGAAUUACCUUGCUCUUGAAUAUGCAGGACCAUGAAAUCUUUGUGGGAGACACGAAUAAGUUCAAAUGUUCUGUAUUCCUUGAGCUACUUGCGGAGUG
rnacentral:lncRNA from 1 species